CCUCAAGGAAACUUUUUUCAAACUAUAAAUCAAAUAGUGCCCUCAAGGAAGAUGCACAGUCCAAAACUUGUCUGUUUUUCGUAUAGAACGCCCUCAAGAGAGGUAGUGUUGACAGCCAAUGUAAGCAAUUUCUUGCAAAGUUGCAUGAGCUGUGUUGUGGGAGUAGAAUAAAAUUGUGAAGAAAAGCAUUUCUUUUCAUAUCGUGACGCAAAAAGUGCUUUGUAUGAAGACAGUAAUAUGUUAGGAGUCUCAGCAAAGACAGCAAGGAAAGGUAAUUUGCAGUACUUAUUCAGUUUUGGAAAUUAAACAGAGGACUGAAAUAAAUGAUGGCAAAGCAGCUUUAUUACUUCAUCUUCCAGCCAGUCACCAACGAUGACUAUAUGUCUCCCAUCCUGUCCAUCAGUUCGCCAACUUGAUCAUUCCCACCAACCAGCAAAGAACAAACACUGUUUUAACGGUGGGACGUUUACAGGUUAAAAUGUUAGAGGUUUAACAUUUUGAUGGAUGCAAUCUGGGGUUUUAUUGUAAAUAAUCCUUAUUACAUGUUUUUUUUCUCUUUUAGCAUCCAUGUACUUUUUGAGAAAGAAAUGGAUUCUAAACAAUAAACGUUGUUCGUUUAAAGUGCCCCAACAUCAGUCUACUACAUUGUUUGAACCAUGUGCAUUAUUGAACUAUAUAAUUAUGCAUAUAUGAAAACACUGAGGUAGGCAGCGUCCUCUGUAAAGUGUUGGCUAAACAUUUAAGUUUUUGUAAACGUUUUUUCAAAUUUAAUGUAAAUUCCCACCCCUACUGUGUUUAUUACUGCCACAUGGUAUCUUAACUGCAAGGCCUGAAAUUUUAUGUUCAACUUCCCUUUUGAAAUCUCAUUUACAAAAAUGUAAUGUUAUAUCUUCAGAGGUGUAUUAAAAAGCCUGAAUUAUCAACACAAAAACCAAACAGCUGAUCUUUGAAAUGGAGUUAAGUAAAUAUGUAAAUUUACAAGACAGUCAAUGCUAGUGUCCAAUAAACUUAAAGGGACCAGACAAAUUGCUUUGCUAUAAAGGGAGAGGAAAAACAAAAAACUCAAGAAAUCCAGAUAUUUGGAUUUUCAGAAUAACCUCCUAAACAGAUUCUUCAUAAUAGUAUUCUGAACUGAAUAGAGUGAACUGUACAUAUUAUGUACAAGACAUUGGUGGAAGUUAACAAAUGUGAAAACUUCCAAAUACUGCAAUAUCAAAAGAGAGCUAAUUGUUCCCAUAGAUUUUACAAUUGGCACUAUUCUGAAUGUAUAAGAGUGUCCUAAAUUACUUUUUCUUGAUGAGUUUCAUCUCUCAUGGUAACAAACAGCAUCAGAGUAACCUGUGAUUUUCCCAUUUCUUGAUAAAAGUCUAGACUUUUAUCAAGAAAUGGGGAAAUCACAGUUGUUGGUUUUAUUAUGGCAUGAUAAGGCUGUAAUUGUUUCGGAAUUCAUUCAACAGUCAAAUCAGUAUUGUACACAUAAAUUAUGUAUCAUAUACCUGGUUUCCCCUUAAUUGAGUGUUAUAUAUAGGUACAAAUAAAUUGGAGUAAAAGCAAUAGCUUUGAUGUCAAU
rnacentral:lncRNA from 1 species